rnacentral:rRNA from 1 species
UGGGGGAUAUUGCACAAUGGGCGAAAGCCUGAUGCAGCGACGCCGCGUGGGGGAUGAUGGCCUUCGGGUUGUAAACUUCUUUUGCUCUGAACAAGGCGCACCAUGGGGUGUGUUGAGUGUAGGGGUUGAUUAGCGCCGGCUAACUACGUGCCAGCAGCCGCGGUAAUACGUAGGGCGCGAGCGUUGUCCGGAAUUAUUGGGCGUAAAGGGCUUGUAGGUGGCUGGUUGCGUCUGUCGUGAAAGCUCAUGGCUUAACUGUGGGUUUGCGGUGGGUACGGGCUGGCUUGAGUGCAGUAGGGGAGGCUGGAAUUCCUGGUGUAGCGGUGGAAUGCGCAGAUAUCAGGAGGAAUACCGGUGGCGAAGGCGGGUCUCUGGGCUGUUACUGACACUGAGGAGCGAAAGCAUGGGGAGCGAACAGG